AUUGAACGCUGGCGGCAUGCCUUACACAUGCAAGUCGAACGGUAACAGGCCUUCGGGCGCUGACGAGUGGCGAACGGGUGAGUAAUGCAUCGGAACGUGCCCAGUCGUGGGGGAUAACGCAGCGAAAGCUGUGCUAAUACCGCAUACGAUCUGCGGCUGAAAGCGGGGGACCUUCGGGCCUCGCGCGACUGGAGCGGCCGAUGUCAGAUUAGGUAGUUGGUGGGGUAAAAGCCUACCAAGCCAACGAUCUGUAGCUGGUCUGAGAGGACGACCAGCCACACUGGGACUGAGACACGGCCCAGACUCCUACGGGAGGCAGCAGUGGGGAAUUUUGGACAAUGGGCGCAAGCCUGAUCCAGCCAUGCCGCGUGCGGGAAGAAGGCCUUCGGGUUGUAAACCGCUUUUGUCAGGGAAGAAACGCUCUGGGCUAAUACCCCGGGGUAAUGACGGUACCUGAAGAAUAAGCACCGGCUAACUACGUGCCAGCCGCCGCCGUAAAAC
rnacentral:rRNA from 1 species